GACGAACGCUAGCGGGAGGCCUAACACAUGCAAGCCGAGCGGUAUGGAUAGCUUGCUAUCCAGAGAGCGGCGUACGGGUGCGUAACACGUGUGCAACCUACCUUUAUCUGGGGGAUAGCCUUUCGAAAGGAAGAUUAAUACCCCAUAAUAUAAUGAUUGGCAUCAAUUAUUAUUGAAAACUCCGGUGGAUAGAGAUGGGCACGCGCAAGAUUAGAUAGUUGGUGAGGUAACGGCUCACCAAGUCAAUGAUCUUUAGGGGUCCUGAGAGGGAGAUCCCCCACACUGGUACUGAGACACGGACCAGACUCCUACGGGAGGCAGCAGUGAGGAAUAUUGGACAAUGGGUGAGAGCCUGAUCCAGCCAUCCCGCGUGAAGGAUGACGGUCCUAUGGAUUGUAAACUUCUUUUGUACAGGGAUAAACCUACCCUCGUGAGGGUAGCUGAAGGUACUGUACGAAUAAGCACCGGCUAACUCCGUG
rnacentral:rRNA from 1 species